rnacentral:lncRNA from 1 species
GGCAUUCAAACUCAAGUGAAGAUUUCUUGAUCACCAGUCAUGAGGGAAGGCUAGCCUGAGGUGAUUACGCUGGGCUGCAAAGGAUGAUGGCCAAUUAGGAGGGUCAAAAUGAGAUUGGUUGGAGCCAUGUUAGUGCGAUGGGACGUUGAUAGAAGUCUUGGGUCAAUCUAGCAAUGGACCUAUCGAAAGACUAGAGCAGGAGGUAGUAAAACCAUGCACUUGAUUUUGAAAGGUAAGUAUGUAUAAUUACGAUUUGAAAUGCAAUUAAUUUCGGAACUACUAGGUGUGUAUAUGUGGAAGAAAC